GUUUUCUUGGAGGAAUUUCGGUCAAGAUUUCUGCCCUAAAGCUGUCCAACUAAGUUCUUGAGGAUCUCAAGAGGACUUCGAGGGAACUCCCGGCGAAGCGUCUUAGAGCUAAUUUCUCAAACUUUGACUUUUGAUACUUGGUUUGGAAGUGGAAGUUC